rnacentral:misc_RNA from 1 species
UUUCCGUAGGUGAACCUGCGGAAGGAUCAUUAUUGAAUAACGGAGGUGCGUGGCCUGUUUCUAACCCGCCAGGUCGUCCACGUGUGAGUUCCCUCACCCACAUCCACCUCACCCCUCUGUGCACCCCCGCGGGGGUCCCCCAUUGUCUAUUUCUGCGGGGGGCUUACGUUUUCACAUAAACUAAAUAUGCUGUGUAGCAUGUUUUUUUUGUUUUUGUGCACACACAACCAAUACAACUUUCAAAACCGGAUCUCUUGCCUCACGCAUCGAUGGAAAACC